GAGAGGUCCCUACCCUCAGCCGUUUAGCUAUUUAAACGUCAUCCCAUCAUACGGUUAAACUAUUCUGAACAUUCUGGUGUGCUAAACAGAACGAGGGUAGUCAUCCCUCUCAU
rnacentral:pre_miRNA from 1 species